rnacentral:lncRNA from 1 species
CAGAGAUGAGCCAUUUUCCUUUGUUUAAAAACAAUGAGUAGAAUAGGGUGUAUCGAUGACCUCAUAGAUGCAGCAGUGUGAUGGGGAGAACUUUGCCUCUGGAAUCAGACUGCACCAGCCCAAGUCCUACUUCCAUUCUCUAUCAUUUGUCCCAGCUUGAGUGAGUCAGUCUUCUGUGUUUCCAGAGUUUGAUCAGGGUUAGAGGCAUUAUUCUCAACAUGUAGAAUAUUGGUGUAUGGUCAGUCCCCACAUGCAUUUGUAUAAUAACAUGAACUUCUUCAGGGAAAAAAAAAAUCAAAUCACCCAGGGCAAAGGGGCUGUGUUUUCUCCAAGCUGGGUCCUCACUGGUCACAUGACCUUGGGGACUUAGCUACUGACUUCCCCUUUUUCUGAGGGUCCUUCCUCAAGGCUGUUGGGAAUCACAGUGGAGAUGCCAUUUGUGAAAACAUUUUAGAAUAGUUAAGUGCUAUGCUGCUCUGCUCAUGUAAAAGGUUGCGCUUGUUCAUACUUGCGCCUGUGGGGUGAUCUGCUCCAUCUAAAUGUAUGAUGAUUUUUAAGAACUUCAAAUAUCCUAGUUCUUCUGGAUUUUCUCUGGCUUUGGAUAUCAGAACUGUUGAGACAUUCCUUUCUCUGCCUCUUGGCAUUUUGAUUUUUGUUUUCCAAGUAGUGCUCCUUUCCAAAGUGACCUCAUUAGCCAGCUUUUUGGUAUAUGAUUUGUUUUUCACAUCAUGUAACAUUUGCUGAGUUUAUUAGUCCCUGGGGCUUCCCAGGACAGAAAGGGGAGAGAGAGCAAAAACUCAAGAAAUAUGAUUAUGAGUACAUUUGUUCACUAAAGCAGAAGAUGGUUGUAUUUCAGAUCCAAAGCUUUGCUGGGAGGAGGGAAGAGAGCAAAGAGCACAGGAGCCUGUGCUGGCCAUUGGGCACUGUGGUCAGGGAGGUUCCAGCAAGAUGGAAGGAAGAGCAGCCUUGGAAGACAGGGCCAUUGCUUCAGCUCAGAGCUGAGGGAGUUGGAGCAGAAAACAAACUGAAGUUCUGUGCUGAGGAGGGUCAGCAUCAGAGACUUGCUCCUGCUAGCCCGUGACUCCAAUGAGAAAUCAUCAAGCACACUUCCACACUGGUGUCUGGGAGAAAAACACACUGGAACUGACAAAACCUAGUGUAACUAAAAAUAGAAUUACAAGCUUUUAAUCUGUAUUGAAAAAGUACGUGGCAGGAAUGGCUGGAGCCUGGAAGAGGGAGAGAAGAGAGGAGCCAAUAUUUCCUGCUCAGCUGGAGCUUCUGCCUCAUUUUCAAUGAACAAUGAAAUGCUGACUACUGAGACCUCCGCUGACUACUGAGAGCUGCCUGUGGCUUUGGGGCUUAGGUGGAUUCUCAACGUUAUCUAAAGCCAAAUGAACUCUUAUACCCUGUGGCCUGUGGAGGCCGGAAGAGGACCUCUCUUCUGCAGUGUGGGAGGACUUCAAGCCUGGGGGAUUGAAGUGGAGUACAGCAGCGUUAGCCUUGGUGGCUUGCAGCUGCAGAGCAGCUAGAGCACCUUAUGCAGGCCUGGCAGCCUCUCCCUGGCUUCCAAGAAUUGAAUGUGAACAGCUGCUGUGUUCCCAGGGACAGAUUUUUAAAAGAUCUCCAAAAAUUCUAUCUUUGGUUUUUUACUGUGCUGUAGCUUGAUGUUUGCUUCAAAUUCCAGAAACAUUGACAAGGGAGAACUGCCCUUCUGUAAACUAUUAUAGCUGUAGUAAGAUACACUGAGAUUUAGAAAUAAUUUCAAAUUUGGACAGGCUUAUUGAAGUUGUCAGAAAUGGGAUCUUUAUAAAUGUUAGGAUAGACUCUGAGACUGAUAAGUAAGAUUUAAAUAAUCAAAAGCACAGACCUAUGCUUAAGAGGAAGCCAGUUGUGUGGUAUUACUAAUCCAUCAAACUUUGAAUGCUUCUCAAGCCAUAGAUAUCAUUAUGCUUACUGCAUUUAUCACAGUAAGGAGACCUCUGCAUUUGGAGAAAGUUACAAAUUUUUGUGCAGAUAAGUAUAGGCUUUUGCUAAGAGGGAUACUGUCAACACUUUGAGAAUUAAAUCCUCAUAAUUAGAAAAAAUUGAAAAUAAAUAGUAUUGUUGAG